rnacentral:lncRNA from 1 species
AAUGAGGGCUCCACUUUCCCCGCAGCAGGCGUGUGCUGCUGUUACUGGUCUUUGCCACUUUGAUUGAGACAGACGGACUGGGGAUUUCUCCAUCACUGUUGCACAUAAGAAGAGUGGUGAUAGGAAGAGUGGACACAGCAGUGUUCAUACCAGGCACUGUCCUGGAGCCAGUGAUGCCAGAGGGAGCAAGCCUCCUACCCUACAAAACUCAUCUCCUGUGACCUUCUAGCCUGAGUCAAGCUGGGAUCGUCAUUGCUCUGUGUGGGCAAGGUUACAUCACAGCUUGGCAGUCUCUCCCUUUGGACCAGGGUCUGCGGUGCAGGAGAUGGAAGAAGAGAAGACGGCAGCAAUAAAGCAAUUUCUACUGGUUAAAUAGCUUCCUGCCACUGCCUAGGAUUUCUCCAGGCUCCACCUAAUGUUUGGCUGUGGGUCUCUGCAUCUGCUUCCAUCAGUUGCUGGGUAAUGCCUCUCAGAUAACAGCUAUGCCAGAGGUCAUGAGGAAUCAAGUUCUACCUCUGGUAAAAAGCCUCUUGCUCCCAGAAGAAAGUCAAGUAGGAACAUACACCUUUGAAUGACAUCUCGCCAUUUACUGAAGUUAUCAUCAUCAGAUCUGUGCUACCUACCCAUUAAAACUUGUCUGGACAUUUUUAAA